UCUAAUAAAAUGCCUAAUUCUUGUAUAUUGGAAACGGGGGAACCAUCUAGGGUGAAUUGCUUAAGGAAAAUCCUUAGCAUAGGGAUCUUCAACCGAACCCAUAAGCUAACCUCGUAGGCAACGAAGGGAGAAGCA
rnacentral:sRNA from 2 species